GGACUACUCGGGUAUCUAAUCCGUUUUGCUACCCACGCUUUCAUGCCUCAGUGUCAGGAGUAGAAUGGUUAACUGCCUUCGCCUUUUUCGGUGGUCCCCUAUGGAUCAAUGGAUUUCACCCCUACGCAUAGAGUUCCGUCAACCUCUCCUUUCCUCUAGCAGAACAGUUUUACCGGCUUCCGUUGAGUUGAGCUCGACUUUAACUGAUAACUUACUCUACCACCUACGCAUCCUUUACGCCCAAUAAAUCCGGAUAACGUUCGCCACCUAUGUCUUACCGCGGCUGCUGGCAC
rnacentral:rRNA from 1 species